rnacentral:lncRNA from 1 species
CUAAUGUUACCUAUUUAAAAAGUUAUGUUUAAAAUUUAAAAAAUUUUAUUUAAAAACCUGUGUGGGUCUCCUUUUGUUAGGUAAAAUAUCACUUUGGUGAUGUGGUAGCCGUACAGCUGUCAGUCCGUUCCUGCUUUCAAACUGUUCCAGGCCAAGAGCAGAGGGCAGGGUGAGUGUUUCAAAGUGGAGUGCAGAGGGAAAGGUAUUCACCAGGAAGCCGAAUUAGGAGGUGAAUGUUAGAUAACAUCCAGCUUUUCUGAUCCUCAGGAACUCUUCAAACUUCCAAUAUUCAUGCUGAGGGAACAAUGUUCACGGGCAUGGAGUCACAAAGAGACAUGGACCUGAAGGAAACUGUCACUUGCUUCAGUGGACUAGAGCAUGCGAUGGUCGGGAAAUCAUAGAGAGGCACUCACUCAUGGUUUACUAGGUUGAACUGUAUUUGUAAUGAAAUCAAGAGAAUGCAUAUCACUCAAACUCAAGGAGAAACUAAAUAAGAAUUUCAAAAUAUUAAAACUCAUCGGUCAUGGUCGUGGUCAUGAGUGCUUUGUAACCAGCUUUCUCCUGACCCUGAGAACACUGGCUAAUGACUCUGGAGGAGGGAAAAGACACCUUUACUGUCCUAAUAUUUAACUGCAGAAUUACCUAGUCCUGGCAGGAGUCACUAAAAACUAAUUUUUCUUUAGAUUUAUAAGACCAAGAACAUCAGAUGACCUGCAGAUGACAGCAGCACCAGAAAAGCUGACUGGCCAAAAUUUACAACUACCCUGAUGCUCUCUGCCUGUGGAAUCUGCCUCCCUCAAAUCCCUGUAUGAGCCUGGAGACCACAACCCCAAG